GCAGAUGUCACUGGGACGAGCCGGCCUCAACGGGCCUUGUGAUGACCCAGGCCCAGAGGAUGGGGAGAGAGCCAUUCUCUAGGCUGCGAUAGAGCCUCCUCGUGGGCGUUACGAGAAUUCAACCGUCCUUCUCCAAGCAAGGGCCCCAACACCCGGGACUCACGCCUGCUGCCAGGUGGGCAGCGUCAUUCCAGGCCGUGUCCUUCUAAAUUGCAGAUCAGAAACAACAUACUUGUGCCUGGUGACUGGUCAGCGAGAGAGCACAAGCAGGGGGAGCGGCAGCAGAAGAGGGAGAAGCAGAUUCCCCACCGAG